GGGGAUUUAGCUCAGUGGUUCCACUGCCUGCCUUGCAAGCACAAGGUCCUGAGUUCGAUCCUCAGUAUCCCUU
rnacentral:tRNA from 1 species